UCCCAACAGUCCUGUUUUAUUUCAAAGGCCUUUUAAAUAUUUAAAAAUAGACAAUGAAAGAAAUUCUCUUUUUAGUAGAUUAAGUAUUUGUUAACACAUUCUAGUGGAGAUUCCUUCAACAAUAGAUAGCAAAAUAGAAAGCUGCUCAAGAAUAUCAAAAGUUUAAAAGUAAACAGGAACUUCUUUGUUGGAGAUAUUCCUUUACACAUGCAGCUGGAAUUUAAACAGUUUAUGUUGCUAAAAUAACUUUUAAAUGGACACUGGAUAAAGUAUGAGGUGUGUAUGUACCUGACAUAUGCCAAAACACACAUAGAUGAAAUUAUGAGGUAUGAGACAUUUUUAGGCUUCAGUGAUUUACACUGUAGAGUGAAUGGUGCUCACAGAGAAACCCUAUUGAUGUGUAAACUUUUUGAUGGUAUACACCUCAUGGACUUGAUGGCAAAUAGUGGAAAACAGUGGCAUUCUCCAUGCCGGGUAGUGGAGAAUGGUGGAGAAAUAUCCAUGGCAAAUAGUGGCAUUUAGAGAAAAACAGUGGCAUAUUUUACACUGAUUGCCACAACAGUUAAGCUGGCAAAUAGUGGAAAAUUUAAGUGGCAAAUGGUGAAAUACGUUCCAAUACUCCACUGAUAGUGGCAUUCAAUGAAAAACAAUGGCAGUUUUUACAUCGAUAUGUGACAGUGGCAAACAGUGAAAAACUUUAAUGGCAAAUAGUGAAAAAUGUUCCAAUACUCCACUGAUACUGGCAUUUAAUGUAAAAUGGUGGAAAAUUUUGACUGGCCUUUCCAACCUCUAUUUUUUCAAUGUUUUCCAUCAGUUUCCACUCAAAGAGGCUUGUUCCAAUACUCCACUGUUUUCCAAUGAUUUUUCAGUGGAAAAUGGUGGCAAAUUUACAGA